GCUGGAGUGGUGAAAUUGGUAUACACGUCAGUCUUAGGAACUGAUGCCUUCGGGCGUGGAGGUUCAAGUCCUCUCUCCAGCA
rnacentral:tRNA from 1 species